AUUCGUUCAGGUUAGGAUUGUCGCCUUCCAAGCGAUAGGUUCGGGUUCAAUUCCCGACUGAACA